AAACUUAGGAUAAUCACCCCCUUAAACCGAAG
rnacentral:tRNA from 7 species